GGUUUCAUACGAAAGCAUUGCGCAAGUGUGGGCCCUCUGGCGCCUGCGCGGCUAGGGUUGGCUUGCCUCUCGCGUCGGGGCUUGACCUGCUUGGAGUGUCGGAGGCCGGCCGCGUGGUGGCGCACGUGGCCGCGAGGAUUCGAGUGGGCCCUCUAGCUUUCCACGGUCUGGUAGACCUGGCACUAAGGGGCAGGAGGAGUUAAGAUGGGAGUGAGCGGUGGUUCUUAUGCUUGGAAAUAUUACAGACUGUUGAGUCCGUCUUAUCCCGAAAGGAACUACGGUUGGCGGCGGGGGGAGAAGGCAGGCUUCGCUGGGGUCGCACGUCCAGUUAGCUGCAAGCCGACCCUAGAGCCUAAUGCUUACUGGCCAGCCUGGAGUUACAGCCCUAUGUGCACCGCGCGCUGCACCCGCAUUUAUUGUACAAGAUUAUGGAAGGCUGGAGCCCGGCCCUUCUCUGGCUCCCCAGCUGUGCCUGGCACCAUGAAAGCAUGCAUGUAGACGGCAGCCUCCACACUCAAAGGAAACCCACACAAAGUGGUGAGGAGCUUGUUCCAUUCCGGGUAAUGAGACAACCCCUGAAUAUUACAGGAUCUCUGGGUAAGUGCAAUUUGAGUCCCCACCAACCCUUUGCAGAAGCAUGGCACUGUUGGGCUGGGGAGGAGGCACCCAAGACGUCCCCUGCAUUGUUUCUAAUCUAUCCCCAUAGAAGGGAGCAACCCAACUCCCUGAGGAUAUUCAAUGGCUCAGCUAAAGCCCUGGGAACAAAGGUGUUUUCACAACAGGAACCACUGGGCUACCUAGAAAUGACUCUUAUCCUAGGAAUUAACUUUUUCUGCUAAAGCUCCAGGAGCUCUCCAACCUGCUCAUCUCUGCCAUUAGAGUUCUGUGCAGCUAAGAACAGAGACUGCAGGAAUUCUGGUCGUAGGCAUGGAGAUGCUGCCUAGGGCACUGGGUAUGGGGUGAGCUGGUACCUGGCUUGACAGAUUCAGGGUGAGAGCCCACGUUCAGCUGGAGAAGGCAGUUGAAAGCUGCAGUGGCUCCCAGGCUUCCUGGACCCCUUCCUUUCUGCUGUUACCCCUUCCCAUCCUUUCUGCCUCCAGCUGCAAAGAAGACCUGGGAGGUGGAGGUAUAGAGCUGGGAGGGGGUUGAGUUCUGGAGAGAAAUAGUCAUCUGGGGACAUUGGAUGGAAAGAUAACCUUGCAGCUUAAACCCCUGGAGCACAGCUUUUACCCAGGCACCAAGCCCAAGCCCAGUGUGGGAGAAGGAGCUCACAGGGUGCCCCUCCACCAGCAGCCCCCUGGCCAUGUCCCAAUUUUGUCCCUGUAGGCCCUAGUAAACUGUGUCCACUAAGCCCUAGGUAGAGGUCCUCCUCCCCAACUCUGGCCAAAGCCAAACUUUGUGUCAGGAUCUGGCAUAGAAGCAAAUUUUCCUCCCUACCUUAUCCCUUUACCUGCUUUAAGUUUAUCCAAUGACCCACAGCAGGACUCCCAUCCCAUACAUUUAACUCUCAGCAGAACAUUGAAAUACACAUUCUCCCCAUUUUAAUAGAUUAGGAAACAGGCUUACAGGUUAAGUGACUUAAGUUUUGAUCAUUUAGCUAAGAAGGGGCUGGCCUGUUUUCCAUUCUUCCUUGCAUGGCCCAGGGCAUAUUUUAGAGCUGAAGAAGAAUGGUGUGUGUGUGUGUGUGUGUGUGUGCACGCAUGCGCUGCGUCCAAGAGUUUAUCAGACAUGCUGCCCUAUGUGUCUCCCCACACACUUCUUGACAGUGGAAACGGUUCACCCACCCACAGGGCUCCCAGGAGCUGCACAGACAAAAACAAGCAGCUGCUCCACCCACACUCAGCUCAGCCCCCAUGAGGCUGUGGGCUCAGUUGGGUGCCAGAGCGGUGCUGAGUGUUCUUAUGCUCUUGGACACAUUUCUAAAUCUAUGAAUCAAAGAAGAAAUCACAAGGGAAACUAGAAAAUGUUUCAAACUGAAUGAUGAAAUACGAUACGUCAAAACCUAUGGGAUGCACAUAGAACAAUGCAUAUUUGUAAGUGUAUAUAUUAGAUGCAUAUGUGUAAGUGCAUAUAUUAGAAAAGAAGAAUGAUGGGGUGCCUGGGUGGCUCAGUCAGUUAAGCAUCCAACUUCACCUCAUGUCAUGAUCUUGUGGUUUGUGGGUGUGAGCCCUGCAUCGAGCUCUGUGCUGACAGCUCAGAGCCUGGAGCCUGCUUUGGAUUCUGUGUCUUCCUCUCUCUCUGCCCCUCCCCCACUUGCUCUCUGUCUCUCUCAAAACAAAUGAAUAAACAUUAAACAAAAUUUAAAAAAAAUAAAAGAAGAAUGGUUGAAAAUAAAUUAUGCAAACUUACUGAAGUGGUAGAUAGUUCCAAUAAAUGGUGUUGGGGCAAGUGACUGUUUUACCUGUACCUUGAAGCCUUCACAAAAAUUAAUUUGAGAUGGAUCAUAAGCAUAUUGUGAAGGUAAACCAGUAAAACUUCUAGAGAAAACAUAGACUAUUUUCAUAACCUUGAAGUAGGCAAAGAUUUCUUAAAUAAGACACAAAGGGGGUGCCUGGCUGCCUCAGUUGGUAGAGUAUGCAACUCUUGAACUUGGGGUCAUGAGUUCAAGCCCCAUGUUGGAUGUGGGAGCCUACUUAAGAAAAAUAAAGUAUUUAAAAGAAAACAAGACACAGAAAGCUCUAAACAUCAGAGGUUAAUAAAUUAGACUUCAUUAAUUUUAAUGAAGAACUUCUGGGGGCUCCUGGGUGACUCAGCCUGUUAAGCAUCUGACUCUUGGUUUUGGCUCAGGUCAUAAUCUCACUGUUCAUGAGUUUGAGCUCCACAUUGGGCUCUGUGCUGAUGGCACAGAGCCUGCUUGGGAUCCUCUCUCUCCCUUUCUCUCUGCCCUUCCCCAAUCUCUCUCUCUCUCUCUCUCUCUC